UAAACAAAUCAAAUUCAGGGUAUUUUUGACUUUUAACAACAUUAAGCAACGUGUCGUUAACGUGAACCACCAGCACAUCCAUCGGAUUCACGUCGCCUCACAAUCUCAGUUUCUCACUUCAAAACCAGUGUUAACCCUUUCUCUCUCCAAAAAAAUGGCAUCUUCUCUGGUACUAACUGCUCCAUCAUCGACGCCCCUAUCAACUUCUCCACCGUUUAUCAAAUACCGCGUCGUUUCCUCUCGGCCUUUCGAUUUUGAUUUUGAUCGGACAGUUAAAAAAGGUGCCGAGGUGGCAAAAAUUCAACAGAUAAACAUGACGGCGCGGCGACGGCGAUGGGGAAGAAGCUAAUCUCCAUUCAUAAGUCAUGAAAUUUUGUGACGAAAAUUAUUUAAUCUAAUAAUCCAGUACGGUGAUUUCCACUUGAAGAAUGCUGUUGGUGCGUUUUUCAUGGAGAUAAAUUGAAAUUUGUAAAUGAAAGGACUAAGUAGGGCUUCCGAGAAUCCUAUUUGUGUACUUACUGUUUUCAAAAAAUGGAGAGUACUGCGAAGCAGAGGAAUUUGGUUACUGUAUAAGGAAAGAGUCUUGGCCGUUGAGUAAACUCCCGAAGGACGCUGCCGUCGGUGACCAGAAGUCACGGGUACAGGCCAUUGUGAAGGAACGGAAGGAGAUGUACGCGAGUGGGAAGACGAAGGAGUACGCGUGGAGAGUGUCACAGUUGAAAGCUCUGUUUAAGAUUGUUGAGUUUUGCGUGAAGGAGCGUCGCGAGCAUCUGACAUGUCUAAGAGUGAACUUGAUUCCUUUGUUCCAGAGGUUUAUCACUCUUCUACUUUCGAUCAUCUAUGCUUUCGUUACGUGUAAAUUAUGUACACAUAAUUUCGGGGAUAACAAGGAAGAAUGAAUUGCAUAAUUGAUUAUAUGCAUCUAUAAUUUUUAGAUAGAUAUUUAUAUUAUCAGUUUGGUUCAGUUAUUUCGGGAAUCAUUGAAUAUUGUAUACUAUGAAGAGAAGCAACAGAUUACAAAGCUUUAGUACUAUUAAUGUGUCUGCAAAUCAGGGUCUUCCUAUUGGAGGAAUUAUUCAGCUCAAUAUAUUACAAUUGAUGUCCCUGAAUAAUGAAAAUGCAUGAAUUAGUAGCAUCUCAUUAAGAUAAUGAACGAGAGAGCACGCACAUUUAAAUAUAAGUGCAUCCACAGUUACACUUCCAUUCCAAAUAAUCUGUACUUCCCAUGGAAACUGAUUAGUUAUUUUUUUGGAAGUGUUGGUGGCAAUGGACAGAAGAAAUGGAUGGCGUGAAAGAAGAGGUAGGUAAGAGAAGUUAUAUAGUGAGUAAAGGUGCCAUAUAAAUUGUGUACAAAGAUGUACGACAGAUGCAUGACGGAGCUGAAUUAUUUUACUUGCUCGAGCUUAUCCAUGACCAUUUGAAGAUGCAACUCCUCCACAAAUAGAGUCCACAACUUUAAGUGUGCUGAUGAAUUAGUGUUGUAUGGAUAUAUUUAGAGUAUGAGCAGAGUUCGACAUGUUAAAUGCAUAGACUCUGAAUUUUUUUUUUUUUUUGGAUCUGUACAAUAAUUUGAAAUUAUUUAUUGGGUCCGUAUAAUGUUGCUUUCUAUGUUUUAUUUA